UUCUGCCACCGAAUACAUUAGCAUGGGAUAAUGGAAUAGGACCCUGUCCUCCUAUUUUCAGUUGGUUUUGGCAGCGCGAGGACUAGGGUAAUGAUUAAUAGGGAUAGUUGGGGGCAUUAAUAUUUAAUUGUCAGAGGUGAAAUUCUUGGAUUUAUGAAAGAUUAACUUCUGCGAAAGCAUCUGCCAAGGAUGUUUUCAUUAAUCAAGAACGAAAGUUAGGGGAUCGAAGACGAUCAGAUACCGUCGUAGUCUUAACCAUAAACGAUGCCGACCAGCGAUUAGGAGACGUUGAAUACAAAACACCACCAUCGGUGCGGUCGUCCUUGGCGUCGGUCUUUCGGGGCCGGCGCGGGGACGGCUUAGCCCGGUGGCACCGGUGAAUGACUCCCCUAGCAGCUUGUGAGA
rnacentral:rRNA from 1 species